rnacentral:miRNA from 1 species
AGAUGAUGAUGGAGAUGAUGAUGAAGAUGAUGAUGAUUUCAGAGGUAAAUAACACGAAUAACACAUCAACGACAACACAGUCAUCGUCAUCAUCUCAUCCUCAUCAUCUUCA